UACGGGAGGCAGCAGUGAGGAAUAUUGGUCAAUGGACGAGAGUCUGAACCAGCCAAGUAGCGUGCAGGAAGACGGCCCUAUGGGUUGUAAACUGCUUUUAUAGGGGAAUAAAGUGAGGUACGUGUACUUUUUUGUAUGUACCCUAUGAAUAAGGACCGGCUAAUUCCGUGCCAGCAGCCGCGGUAAU
rnacentral:rRNA from 1 species